CNCANUCCAGUNGGGAGACUGCAAUUCCCUGNNUACCNNUNNAAUGCCCANNNUUCCGGAGGANCCCCCGAUNGCGNAGGCCAGGUUUUUGGGCCUGUAACCGNCGCUUAGGAGCGANAGCAUGGGGACCNANCAGGNCUUAGAUACCCCUGGUAGUCCNUGCCGUAAACGUUGGGCACUAGGUGUGGGGGACAUUCCACGUUUUCCGCGCCGUAGCUAACGCAUUAAGUGCCCCGCCUGGGGAGUACGGCCGCAAGGCUAAAACUCAAAGGAAUUGACGGGGGCCCGCACAAGCGGCGGAGCAUGCGGAUUAAUUCGAUGCAACGCGAAGAACCUUACCAAGGCUUGACAUGAACCGGAAUGAUGCAGAGAUGUGUCAGCCACUUGUGGCCGGUUUACAGGUGGUGCAUGGUUGUCGUCAGCUCGUGUCGUGAGAUGUUGGGUUAAGUCCCGCAACGAGCGCAACCCUCGUUCCAUGUUGCCAGCGGGUUAUGCCGGGGACUCAUGGGAGACUGCCGGGGUCAACUCGGAGGAAGGUGGGGACGACGUCAAAUCAUCAUGCCCCUUAUGUCUUGGGCUUCACGCAUGCUACAAUGGCCGGUACAAAGGGUUGCGAUACUGUGAGGUGGAGCUAAUCCCAAAAAGCCGGUCUCAGUUCGGAUUGAGGUCUGCAACUCGACCUCAUGAAGUUGGAGUCGCUAGUAAUCGCAGAUCAGCAACGCUGCGGUGAAUACGUUCCCGGGCCUUGUACACACCGCCCGUCAAGUCACGAAAGUUGGUAACACCCGAAGCCGGUGGCCUAACCCCUUGUGGGAGGGAGCCGUCGAAGGUGGGACCGGCGAUUGGGACUAAGUCGUAACAAGGUAGCCGUACCGGAA
rnacentral:rRNA from 1 species